CAGUCGCGGGGGGAGUCGAGGCUCCGCCCUGCCUCGCGGGCUCUGCAGGCCGUCAUGCAAACUGUCUCACCUGGGAUUGCAGUUCUGCAACAGCUGCUCAGAAAACGCAGUAACAGGCAUCCGCUGAUAUUGAGCAUGAAAGUCUGUGCUAUGGCAGCACUUUCAACUUACCAGUUCGUUUUACGCCCCCUGAUUUCCGUGGACAACUGUACUUCACUCCGAGCAUGGGGGGAUCCAGGAAGCUGCUGAUCAAUGAUGGGGAGGCAAAGGACCCGCGUCUGAACAUCUCCCUUGGCUCAGUUCGUUUGACAGAUUUGACAGAAAGAGACAAUGGAACUUUUUCCAUCUCAUUUGGUGAUGAAAGCACAAACGAUAUCAUCACGCUGACAAUUGAUGAUUGUGCUGAAAAGAUCACAAAAUAUUACGGGGAUAUCUAUGGCAGUACUCUUCCGAAGGGGACAGAAUUUGUGGAGUUCACUCCGCUUCACCUUCGGGACCAACCACAGGUGGUGUGGAAUGGCACCAACCUGCAGAAGAAUGGCAAAAUACGGAUGUUUUUUUCAUACCUGGAGAUCUUCAGAGUCACUCAAGCAGACAACGGCUACUACAACUUCAGGAAAAAGGACAACACUUUGCUGUCGAGGAUACUGCUCAUAGUACAAGAGAACAAUAGACGCUCUGAAGUAUGGGUAAAAGAGCGGCUCUCCAUCCAAUAUCCGAUGUUCGAUGUUAAGUGGACUGUGACUUUUACACCGAAGGGGAAAAUGGAAACUCAAACGUGGAUAGAGGGAAACAGACUGGUCACAGGGGAUCUUUCAGGGAGGAUUUGGUUGGUGCAUAAUGGCAUAGACAUCGAUGUGGAAAGCACAGACUCUGGCACCUUGGAAUUCAGAGACCGACAAGGCAACCUGGCCUUGACUGUGGAGGUGAACGUAAUAGCUGAGGAAACAGAUCCCACAUUUAUAUAUGUUGCUCCUGCUCUUGUGAUCAUCUUUGUGGUGGUUGUUGGCUGCUGCUGCGUGAAGAAGUUCUGUUUCAAAAAGAGGUCUUCAAGUAACGAGCCUGCUCCUCAGACUGCUGCAGCACCCGCUGUGUAUUACCAUUUUCAAGAUACAAAUCCAAGUUAUUCUGCUGCACCCACAACUUCAGCCCUCUUGUCUCAGCCAAUGACGCCCCCUGUGUCUUCAGAACACUCGAAUGGGCCAUCGGUUGCUGCUCCCACCCUCUCAGUCGGCUCUGAGCCCCAGUCCUCGGACCCCGAGCCAACAUUUGAUCUGAAAGGAGUGACCUUUCCCGCCGCUCCCCUCCUCAGCUCAGACUCGACUCUCUGUGACACGUAUACCUCAGAUAAACUUGACUUUCUGUAA
rnacentral:lncRNA from 1 species